GCUGUAGCUCAGUGGUAGAGCACCUGCUUUGCACCCAAAAGGUCUCAGGUUCCAUCCCCAGCAUCUCCA